GGUUUGAUUAUGGCUCAGAUUGAACGCUGGCGGGAUGCUUUUUUUACAUGCAAGUCGAACGGCAGCACGGACUUCUCGGUCUGUAGGCGAGUGGCGAACGGGUGAGUAAUGUAUCGGAACGUGCCUAUAGGGGGAUAACUACGCGGUAGCUACUGCAUACGCCCUUCGGGGGAAAGCGGGGAUCCGGGCCUCGCACUAGGAGCGGCCGAGUUGAUUAGCUAGUUGUGCGGCCUACUAAGGCGACGAUCCGUAGCUGGUUUGAGAGGACGACCAGCCACACUGGGACUGAGACACGGCCCAGUGACUCCUACGGGAGGCAGCAGGGGAAUUUGGACAAUGGGAAACCCUGAUCCAGCCAUCCCGCGUGUGCGAUGAAGGCCUUCAAAGUUGUAAAGCACUUUUGGCAGGAAAGAACGGCAGACACGGGAUAAUACCCGUGCAACCGACGGUACCUGCAGAAUAAGCACCGGCUAAUCAUACGUGCCAGCAGCCGUAAUACGUAGGGUGCAAGCGUUAAUCGGAAUUACUGGGCGUAAAGCGUGCGCAGGCGGUUCGGAAAGAAAGAGGAAAUCCCAGAGCUUAACUUUGGAACUGCAUUUUUAACUACCGAGCUAGAGUGUCAGAGUGGAGUGGUGAAUUCGCGUGUAGCAGUGAAUGCGUAGAUAUGCGAGGAACACCGAUGGCGAAGGCAGCCUCUGGGAUAACACUGACGCUCAUGCACGAAAGCGUGGGGAGCAAACAGGAUUAGAUACCCUGGUAGUCCACGCCCUAAACGAUGUCAACUAGCUGUUGGGCCUUCGGGCUUGGUAGCAGCUAUUCGCGGUGAAGUCUCCGCCUGGGGAGUACGACGCAAGAUUAAAAACCCUAAAGGAAUUGACGGGGACCCGCACGCGGUGGAUGAUGUGGAUUAAUUCGAUGCAACGCGAAAACCUUACCUACCCUUGACAUGUCUGGAAUCCCGAAGAGAUUUGGGAGUGCUCGCAAGAGAACCGGAACACAGGUGCUGCAUGGCUGUCGUCACCAAGCCGAGAUGUUGGGUUAAGUCCCGCAACGAGCGCAACCCUUGUCAUUAGUUGCUACGAAAGGGCAAUUUAAUGAGACUGCCGGUGACAAACCGGAGAGGAAGGUGGGAUGACGUCAAGUCCUCAUGCCCUAUGGGUAGGGCUUCACACGUCAUACAAUGGUCGGGACAGAGGGUCGCCAACCCGCCGAGGGGGAGCCAAUCCCAGAAACCCGAUCGAAGUCCGGAUCGCGCAGUCUGCAACCUCGACUGCGUGAAGUCGGAAUCGCUAGUAAUCGCGGAUCAGCAUGUCGCGGUGAAUACGUUCCCGGGUCUUGGUGGUACACACACCGCCCGUCACACCAUGGGAGUGGGUUUUACCAGAAGUAGUUAGCCUAACCGUAAGGAGGGCGAUUACCAAUGGUAGGAUUCAUGACUGGGGUGAAGUCGUAACAAGGUAG
rnacentral:rRNA from 1 species